GGGGCAACCAGCACCAGUGCGCCUGCGUGAUGUAUGUGGGCGGGGCUACAGUCGACCGUUUAGGCCGCUGGUAGAUUCACAGGGACGAGAGAAACAGAACCAACAUGGACAAGUUGGGAAGAGCUCUGCAGUGUUUGGAAAACAGCUAAAGUUUAAGCCUUCUGAAGAAGAGUCUUACUAGACUGGAAGUGUCA